AAUGAUAUAUUUUAUGUCAAAAAAACUAAACUAAAUUAAGAGAAAAAUUUACUGUAUAUAAAAAUUAAUAUACAUUAUAGUAGUGCCAUAAUAAUCAACUCCAUAUUUAUCAUCCUUUUCACUUCCUAAAUUAUUUAGUUUUUGUAAAGCAAAUGAUAAAUCAUUUAAUAAUUAAAUUAAUCAUCAGCAACAGUUUUUUGUUUCAGAUUGUUUUUGAAUUGCAUCUAGUAAUAUUUAAAUAUAUGUGCUUUUUAGAGUGUAAUUAGAAAAUUUAAUUCAUAAAUUUAUAAUCAUACUAGAAAUUUAUUUUAAAGAAUGAAUCAAAAAUUUACAUCCUAAUGAUGAUUAAAUUUUCACAGUAAGUAUUUUAUAUAAUGCAUGCAGUAGCGUUCCUAGCAUUGGUGUCACCCCUUCUUCCUCAAUGUUAUAUAAAAUGUUUGAUUGUCCAACAAUCAAUAGUAAGUAUAAUAUUAACAAUAUCAUUCAAAUGGUAUUAUUAUUAUAAUCAUUUUUCACAUAAUUCUUUGUUUCUCAAAAUACAAAAUUUAUGUAGCACAACUUUAAUUUAUUGCUACCAUUAUAUUAUACUCAUGUAACUAACUAACAAUAUUAUCCUUAUCCAAGAUUCUUGUGAUACAACUUUCUCAACAAACAAGAAAUGAUCAUUUUUUAAAAAAGGGCUUAGUUGUAAAAUUGACAAAAAUAUAAUUUUUUAAUAUAAGUUUGAAAACAUUGAUUGUCACCCUCACUAUGAUGUCACCCAGUGUAGCCCACACCCAUCGCACUCUCCUAGUGACACUACUGAUAUAUAUAUUUCAUAUUUUUAAAUAAUAAGUUUUAUAAUUACCAUAUUUUCUCAUAUAAUUAUCAUAAGUUUUAUGGCUAAAUUUUUGUACAAAAAUAGUAAAGAUGUGACAUUUCUGCAAACAAUAAAUUAAAAGAUAAAAUAAAAACAAUCAAUUUGCUUAAAAAUCACUUAUUAUUAAAGCUGUGUUUAGUAUAAUUUAGUCAAUUCCUAAUACAUACAAUACUGUAUAUUCUCAUAUAGCAUAUGGAGUGCCAACAUAAUUUAAACAAGCC
rnacentral:lncRNA from 1 species